UAAUCACAGCCUCAACCAGCGGCCAAAACCCCGUCUUAAAAUCCUUUCUGCUUUCAUUCCACGCUGCCCUGACAAUAGCAGAAUACUUCCCUGAAGGGUAAUUUUCCUUUUUCUCAGUGCUGCCUUGAUGUUUGGAAACUUUCAUUUAUAGUGCUCUGGAUGUGCUGCCAGCACAGGAGAGAGGCAGCUAGCAGUGCCCGUCAGUGUCCCCGUGCCCAGGCUGUGACAGUGGGUGGGAACGCUGCUGACAUCACCUGAGAGGCUGCCGAGACAUUCUCAGAAGUUAAAAAACGCAUUAACUGGAAAUGACCAUUUAGCACCAUAAAAUUGCUUAUGUCGUCAUUGAUGCAAUUAUGUUUUCUAAUGAAUGAAUUAUUCCCUGACCCCUCUCAUGAGGGGGAGGCAGGAAUGGCAGUGGUGAUGGCCAUCAAAUCCAUGUCCAAUGCAUGAGGGCAGCUGGACCUUUUGGACGCUCACACUGCCCUGCUGCCACCCUGAAAAACCUGUGUUCCCACCAUGUGCCAGAACAAGCUGCUCCUACAAGGCUGGUGUGAGUGACUCCGAAAAUGGAGAAGUGGAGAUGCCACUCACAGUGGUGAUGCCAUCUGUCAGAACUCUCUGUUGGCCCGAGCCACCAAUGCUGUCCUGGUGAACAGCAUGGCUUCAGCAACAGCAGCUUCUAGAACUGAAGAUUUAAACUCUAAUCCAGUCUGAACGGCAUCACCAAGAACGAGGAUGAGAAAAUGUCCUCCCACUGCCUGAGUCUGGCUUUGGAGCAUCCAUUGCUGAAGCCCGAGCUGCAAAUGGAAAGAUCAACAAUCUUGUAAAGCAGAAAUUCUACCCUGGCUACACUUGCUUUUUGGGAAGAUGCUGUGGAGAUGAUUACACAGAAAAAUGAUGAGGUUUAUACUUACCUUGUGGGAUUAGUGUGGCAAUGACGCUUCCACACUACACAGCACCAGAACUCUGGGAUAUGGCUUGAGGAAAAUGGCAAAAUUCAGAUAGAAAGAAAAGCCUGUAUUUUAUUAGGCCUCACAUCUAUUCUGAGAGUGGCCAGUGAUCUUUGACCAGGCAGGCAAGGGAUCACCCACUUGCCUUGGACUGUGUUCAACUAUGAAUGGUUACUAGAAAAAUAAAAUAAGCCUAAA